GGUUGGAAAUGUGACCUUUGGACUUUUCUGAACGAAACUUCUCUUCUCUCAAACGAGCUAUCGACGGCGCGACCUCCCUUAGUCUCUCCGAUUCGGCGCCACCACCAAAGAACACCGCCGCAUCUUCUUCCAGUCUCUCUUCGCCGUAGCUCUCUCUCUUUGUUCACCUCAAUUGCAUCUCUCCGCUUCGACCUCGUUCUCACGUUCUCCUAAUCGGAGCAAAUCCGAUGACUCUCCGAGUUUGAUGAAGAAAUUAUGAGAUCCAGAAGUAACUCUUCGCGUUCUUCUUCUUCUUCCAUUCUCAGAUUUGUUGUGGUGACGAGAAGCGUUGAUUGUUGCUGAUGAUUCAGUGCGGCUCUGUUGAAGAAAGAUCGAAGGAGCCUUGCGUGAUGCGUCGUGGAUUCAAAUCGUGAUGAUUAUUGACGCAGUGAAGAGUUUCGUUAUCCCUAUGAAUUCUGAGAGUGAUGAUUGAGGCGGUGGAGAAUAUUGUUGAAUCAAGAUUUGGCGUAUGGAAUCGGUAUUGAUACAGAGCAAUCGUUGAAGAUGAAGAAUCAAGAAAUGGUUAUGGUGAUGGUGAUCAGAAUGAGAUUAUGGUGGUGGAUGAAUGAAGAUGAGGAUGCGAUGAAGGUUCUUCUCUGAACUCUUCCUUUAACAUUUUUCUGUGAAUUCAGUUACGAUUUUCUUUUCUUGUUGAUGAAUGGAGAUGUGCGAUGAAGGUUGAAGGAAGGGAGAGAGAAUCGGUGAUGAAGGUUUAGAGAUUGAAGAAGAUUGAAUUUGGUUCAGAGGGAGUUUGUUGGAGAGUGAUGAAGAUGAAUAAAAAAAUGGUUCAGAGGAGGAAGAGUAGAUGAAGAUGAUGGGUGGUGAAUGAUGCGUGGAAGUGAAAAAAUGGAGGAGAGGAUUGAAGAAGAUGUGAAGAUGGUGAAAAUGGGGGAGAAGAGAGUGAAUGGUUGAGUGGAGUGGUUCUGAAUAUAUAGAGGUUGAGGUUGCAGGUUUGGAAAAGUGCAGCAAUUGAAGGUUGAUGUGUGGCUGUAGUGUGCAGGGUGGCUGAAGUACUGUUGUGAAGUGAGGUUAGAAAUUGAUGCCGGCAACAUACUUUAAAGAAUGGUCAGAGAUUACAAAGUGGAGUUUGGAGCAGUGAUUGGAAGGUUUAGGAACAAAGGAUCUCAUGUAUAGAAGCAAUGUAGUAGCAUGAUAUUUAGAUUUCUAGAUGUGUAUUCUUUGUGUAAUAUGACUUGGACCAUAAUGUAAUGAAUUUUUGAAUUUGUACUGAA